rnacentral:rRNA from 1 species
UCAUGUAGAUCAGAUACCCUAUGGCACCAGAUGUAUUCCGAAGCUAAGUAGGGUCAUUCCUGGUUAGUACCUGGAUGGGAGACUGCCAACAAAAACCAGGUGCUGCAGACU